rnacentral:lncRNA from 1 species
GAAUGAACAGGCUUGCUUACACUGUCUUGCUUCAGAACUGGUUUGGCACAAAAUCAGACCUAAUGAUAGGUUCAGAAGGAAAAAUUCAUGGUUGGGAUUUGGAAUCCUCUGAGCCAACCAGUUAUCCACAAACAAGUCCACGGCUCUUCCGCUGGGUUUCCCAGAAGGUCUUCCAGGACAGGUCUCUUGUCAUCAUGGAGGACUCCACAGUCCUAUCUGGAGUCGCCUACUCCGGAGUGGAGAGAUGGAGAAGGUAAACUCACACUGGCGCAUAGUUCCAGGUUAUACAUGCAGGAGAAAGAGACCCUAAAGGAGAAAGCUUCUCUUGGAUGGAUGACUAAUCUUCACAAAAUCAACCAACAGCAGCAGUGAUGGCUGAUGACAGCAUGAAGAAGAAUCCUUCCUGUUGGAGCCAUUGAUCAUCUAUUCCCAUGACUAAUUGUGUGAUCCUGUUAAUGUAACAAAAUACCUGAAGCUGGGUACUUUAUAAGAAAAGAGGUAGGUUUAGUUCAUGAUUUUGUAAGCUGCAUUGUGCCCACUCUAACAAGAGUCCCUCUGACUUCAUCACACAAGAGUGGAUUAUAUAAUUGUGUACAAGGAAGGCCACACAUAAAAUGGGGAGGGGUCAGCCUUGCUCUUUCAUGAUAACCUUCUCAAGAGAACUCUCUGAGGUACGGCAAAAACUGUGUCAAUUUCUUCUGAGGAAGAAAUCUUACAUAGCCACACUUGAGGGACACAGUAAAACCACACCCAAAGCAAGUACUAGAAAGGUGCUGAGGGCCAAAUUGGUUAACAAGGGCCCCAGGACACCCAGAGCUCUGGCCUUCAAGUCUCCUUCAAGUCCUCUCUGCCUACUCUUGGCUGUGUGGACUAGUAGCUGAUAGGUUCUCUUCUUC